UUUUUGCUGGCAGCCUCAUUCUGCAUGCACAUACCCAGAGUUCGCUCUUGCUCCGCUGGAACAACCGCCUAAUUAACGCGUGAUAACGUGCCCUUUUCUCGGUGAAUGCAUCUUGAAGAAGCUCGCGGUACUACACGGAUGCUUACCUUUCGGGGUGAAAGAUCUAGCGACCUAAGGUAUGCGGUGCCGGUCAUGGAUUAGCAUAGCUGGUUGGGCUUAAUGGCCUUACCAAGCCCGACCGAUCCAUAGCUGGUUUGAGAGGAUGAUCAGCCACACUGGGACUGAGACACGGCCCAGACUCCUACGGGAGGCAGCAGUGGGGAAUCUUAGACAAUGGGGGAAACCCUGAUCUAGCCAUGCCGCGUGAGUGACGAAGGCCCUAGGGUCGUAAAGCUCUUUCGCCAGGGAAGAUAAUGACGGUACCUGGUAAAGAAGUCCCGGCUAACUCCGUGCCAGCAGCCGCGGUAAUACGGAGGGGACUAGCGUUGUUCGGAAUUACUGGCCGUAAAGCCCCCUAGGGCGGACCAUUAAGUAAGGGGUGAAAUUCUGGGGCUUAACCCCAAAACUUCCUUU
rnacentral:rRNA from 1 species